GACGAACGCUGGCGGCGUGCUUAACACAUGCAAGUCGAACGGUGAAGCGCCUUCCUUUUUGGUGGGUGUGGAUGAGUGGCGAACGGGUGAGUAACACGUGAGUAACCUGCCCCCUUCUUCUGGAUAACCGCAUGAAAGUGUGGCUAAUACGGGAUAUUCUGGGUCUGUCGCAUGAUGGGUCUGGGAAAGAUAUUGUUUCGGUGGGGGAUGGGCUCGCGGCCUCUCAGCUUGUUGGUGGGGUGAUGGCCUACCAAGGCGGUGACGGGUAGCCGGCCUGAGAGGGUGGACGGUCCCACUGGGCCUGAGGCACGGCCCCGACUCCUACGGGCGGCAGCAGUGCGGAAUAUUGCACAAUGGGCGCAAGCCUGAUGCAGCGACGCCGCGUGAGGGAUGGAGGCCUUCGGGUUGUGAACCUCUUUCGCCAGUGAAGCAGGCCUGCCUCGUUUGUGGGUGGGUUGACGGUAGCUGGAUAAGAAGCGCCGGCUAACUACGUG
rnacentral:rRNA from 1 species